CUAUUAUGCUGGAUCGUCAAGCCACAGAUACGGAUCAUCUACUGGGAAUCAGCGCAUCGAGUCAUGGUGGUCUUAUUUCAGAAGAGGAAGGUCUCAGUUUUGGAUGGACUUUUUUGGAGACCUAAGAGACUCUGGAAACUUCAAUGGAAGCCACGAACGCCAAUGCUUGCUGAGAUUCUGCUUCACAGGGGUUCUACAGAAAGACCUGGAUGAAUGCAAAGACCUCUGGAACAAACACAGGAUCCGGCCAAGCAGACUUGCAUCGUGUCCAGGGGGGAUUCCAAACAAACUCUAUCUCUUGCCUCACAGAUAUGGUUCAAGAGACUGUGGAUUUGCUGUUGAGGAGAGGGAACUGGAUGUGUUUCCCGAGGAGGGGCUACUGGUUGGAUUGUGUGGUGAUCCAAACAUUGGGGAAUAUUUACAACAGGCUGUACAACAAAACACACUGCAGCAGCCACAAGACUGGGAAUCGGCCACAGAACUGUAUUUGGCCCUGAAGGACAUAGCUGGGUUUUAGAUACCAACUGAACUUCAGUUUGUAAUGACAUUUGUCAGAGUUACUCUGACAAAGACACACACGGUGUCGAAACGUUAGUUUCUUUCCUUUUUUUGCCCCUAAUAAAACCUUUGGACUUGAGUGCUCCA